UACAGAGGGUGCGAGCGUUGUUCGGAAUUAUUGGGCGUAAAGCGCGUGUAGGCGGCUUUGCAAGUCGGGUGUGAAAGCCCUCAGCUUAACUGAGGAAGUGCGCCCGAAACUGCAUUGCUUGAGUACCGGAGAGGAUGGCGGAAUUCCCCAAGUAGAGGUGAAAUUCGUAGAUAUGGGGAGGAACACCGGUGGCGAAGGCGGCCAUCUGGACGGAUACUGACGCUGAGACGCGAAAGCGUGGGGAGCAAACAGG
rnacentral:rRNA from 1 species